CAAGGCAUGUCCUGCAAAGUGUUCUGCAGCUCUAAGUUCUUACUGUGAUGUUCUUGUGAUUAUACUCAGGGACAGUGUACAUUGAUUCAGAGAGUAUAGAAAGGUCAGAAAAUGAGGUUCUGCUCAAAGGGCACAGAAACUGGGAUCUGAAUGGGACUAUGUCUCAACAGUCCCUGCUUCCAAGUUCUAAAUCUGAAGAUGUAUUCCUAGAGCACAAAGGGACAGAACAGGCACAUGCUGGCUCAAAUACAUGUCCUUGGCAUAAACAAAAAGUCUGGCAUCUCAGAUACAACUUAAAACCAGACGUAAGUCCUGAAAGUGUUUGGACCUCUGAUUUUGAGUACAAAGCCUCACAGCAGUAAGCAGUUUUGCCAAUUCAGGUGCCUGUUUUGGUUAGUCAUCUAUGUCGUAAAAAGCCAUUGGAAAACAAGAUGAGUGAAAUUAAGAGGGGAAAAAAAAAAAAAGGCACAAAUCUAUAAAGUGCUAAAGCAAAGCCAAAAAAAGUGGAGCUCCAUGAGAACAGAACAGAACACAUUUGCUGCCAAGUUAUGUCCAUUUUUCUGUGCACUGUUUUUAAAAUGACUUUUCAUCUGGUGAUGCAGAGCCAAAUAUCUCUACGGGUAACAUGUAGCUCCCCAAACUCAUAGGAAAUUAGCAAGCCUUAACAAAAUUUAUGCAUGGCUUGCUAUUGCAGUUCCACAUCUAAAGGGAAAACAGAUGUUCUCUUUAGUUAUUCUCUUCAUGUCCAAAUGAAAGCUGUUGGUUACAGAGGUUUUUUUCUUAAAAAAAAAAAAAAAGGCUGGUGCUGUAAAGGUUACAAAUGAUGCAAUUUUUACAAUCCUACUUCAAGGCUCUCUCCUACCCUGAAUUGCUGAAGUGAUGCUUGCCGAUGCCUGUCACCCACUUACCAGCCUCAUAUUUCUUAACACCUACACUUUAGGAUGAAUAAAUAAAACAGAGUGCAAAGUAUUUGCUUGAGACCAUUAAUGGCCUGGCAAGCCAGGCUUCCAAGCCCUUGGCUGAAUUCAUUGUUAAGUUUCUCAGCCCAGGUUAGUUUCAAAAGUGAGGCAGAAUGGAUCUCUCUGUAAAGCAUGCUAUUAGCCAUGUCACUAAAUGCAUCUCUCAGGGCUUCAGCAUGAGGAAGGAAAAUCAUGAUUCUUCACCUCCUUCACCUGCUUCCCUUCGCUUUGCACAUGCACAUUCUGCCCACAUAAUUUUCCACCACACAUUGCAGAUGGGCAAUCUUUUCUCUUUCUGUUUUUACACAAACAUUUUCAAGAUGUGCAAAAAUACUGGCACUUACAGCGAGUGUUUGCCAUCUGAAAGAGCUUGCCACUGCAAACAUGUAUGCACGCAUCCACACACAUCUCAUAUUCAUUCUUUACUUUGCAGAUGGGUAUCAAACACAGAGGCUUUCAAAAUGCUAAUUCAUUUGGGCUGCUGUAUUUGUUUGUUUCUACAACAUGCUUUUUCAUUGCUCUCUGGAUGGGGGAGGAUCCCAAUCCUUUAUUCCUCUGCAGCUACUAAGUGGACAUUAAUACAAAAAGCAGGUCCCUCUCCACAAAGAAAUGCCCCAAAAGAGCAGCAAGUACAGUAAAUUCUAGUCAUAGGCUUCAUACCCUUUCAAACUCUUUAUCCAAAAAAUCCUUUCUAGCCUGUGAUAUUCAUUGUCUUCCAGAUAAUAUGAUAAAUAAUAUGAUAAAUAGACGUUGCUACUAGCUAACGUAGGAAUGAUUAGUCUCCAAAAAUGGCGAAGGAAGGGACUCUGUCAUUUAAAGAAAGGGUGGCAAACGAUGCAAAACACAGGUGGCAGGAAUGCAGAGAAGAGCUGGCAGGAACUAAUGAGAUGAGUGAUCAGCAUUUUAUUCAGACAGUGUUUCAGCGUCCACCCAGAGGAGAUUAAGUAUCCUGUCCUCUCAGUGCAGAGAAGGAGAAAUAAAUCAGGUUUUAGCACAAGUAGGGUGGCAGGGAGUUAAUUAGAAAUGGGGGGGAGGGUAUGGAAUAUUUCAGUUUGCAAAGGGAUAAAAAAUGAGCAAAUGAAAGAACUAAAACACACUGAGAACACACUGGAACACACCUGGGAAACAAGUGACUGAGGAUCCUGCGUGAGGAAGCUGCAGCCACAGGGGACUGCACACAACAGGUGAUUCAGACAGCUCAGCUGAAAGCUGCCAUCCAGUGCCAAAUGCUGUUCAUCUGAGUUGUUACAUGAAAGCAGACAUUUCCCAUACCCUGCCUCACGUCAGGGUCUUUCCAUCAACAAAGCAUGUAAAAAAGGCAAAGUUGCAGAAGAAAAUAAAAGGACCUUAGUUUUCCAAGCAGUGUUUAAAAAAACACAACCCUCAUUAAAGUCAAUAGGAAUUGCUCUACGUCUCUUGUAACUUGCCUCCCAGGAUCUGUGCAAAACUAGAAUAUGACAGAUUCUGCUUUUAAAAUGAGCAGAACUGCAUAAGAAGAUUAGCAGAAGCCACAAAAAGCAGAAUGGUGGUGAAGCUACCUUAUUGCCCCAUGUUCAGUGAUUUCCAUUAAUGAUUUAACAGUAAAGUUCAAUUAAAUGAGUAGUAGAUACUGACACAGCCCAGCAAUGGAUCUGCUCUGUGCUGGUGGAGCACAUCCAUAUGGAUAUGUUAAAGCAAGAGAACCUUUCGAAGGCAAUGCACCAUUUUUCUUCCCUGUCCUAAGCUGAGGUUAAUUGUGCCUGGGGCGGGUACGUUGCUAGUCCUAAUGAAGAUCAAUUCCAAGCUGAGAGCUGACUCCCUGUUUCAGCCAGCUGACUGACAAUAAUGUGUUUCUGGGAGGGAUAAAGGCUUCUGUUAUCUACUGGGUUUAAACUAUGGGUACAAGUAGGGUUAGGGGUGUAUUGCCUUGCAGGAAGCAAAUUCCUGCGAGCUGAUGGGUAACAUAUUACCUCUGUGGAAAAAGGUCCUGCUGCAUGCCAUUCCCGAUCUGCUGAUGUACCCUUUCUGCCAAGAAUGCCACAGGCUGCAGGUCACUGCUCAAGAGGAAAGGCUUGUGUGGAAAUGAAUGCAUGAAUAUGGCUUCUGGCUGAAAUAUUUAAUCAAUGUUUAAGUGACUUUCUGCCACCAGUGAAUAUUAAAGUCCUCAUUUUGAGGAAAAGCUGGGAGUCACAUUUCAGCAAUAUAUUCAGAGCAUCAGUACAUUCAGAUAGCGUCAGAUGAUGCAAGAGUACAGGCUGUGGUCAAUCCCCAUUGCAGUAAUUUAGGCGAGUGCAGAAGAAGGAGUGCUGCCUUUUGACUGUCUCCAUGUUUGUUAUUUAUACACCGUGUCAUUUUGAGCCUGUUGUUCGCUUGUAGCUUUGGUCUGACAGUUCCCUGAUUUCAAAGGCAAUUCAGCCCCUGACAUAAAGCAGAAGAACAAUGCACGGUUCCUGUAAAACAACAGUGCUCCCCCCGCUGCUGUCAGAAUGCAGGGAUUAGAUGCAGAAUAAUGCAGUCCCUGAUCAAACCUGCAGCUGUAAUUCAACCUCUGGACAGUGCUGAUGCCAUAAAUUUGUGAAGAAAGUGCAGCUCAAGCGAUUUGUGAACAAGAGCUGGCUACUCAGAAGAAGGGGAACAGCUCAGCUGAAUCUGAAGCCAGCACAGCCCAUUGUUUUGGCAUGAAAUCAGCAGAAUGGUAACUACAAGCACCACUGACAUAUUAUAAUCAAAUAAUCACAUGGAGCCCUUUCUGAGCAAGUCUUCCAGUUUCACCACUGAGUGGUUAUUCACUAUUGAAAGAAAAAGCAUAAUUAGCACUAAAUACUCCUUUAAAUAGAAUAAUGUUCCUUGCUGUUUCCCUUGCUAUUUUAAUAUCCAUUUUAAUAUUGCACUGUUUCUACUGGGACCAGAGUAACGCAUAGGGAGGUUAAGAAAAGUGGUUUAUAAAGUUCAUCUCAGAUAUGGAAAUGUGAGGAAAGAAAUGGGGAAAACAGAGAACUUGAGUAGGGAACACAAAAUGGAUGAGCAAGAGAGUACUCACAGCAUAGACUGCACAAGUUUCACAACUUGUAAUAUGAAUCUGCAACUCAGAGAUGAUCAGAGAGGCAUGGAAGGUCUGGGACUUGGGGUGCAAAGCAAAGGCCACACAAAUCAGGCGGAGAACUGGAGAGGUGCUGGAAAAUGCCUGGCCUUUUGACUUUACAUUUACUUUAUGGAAGGUAAAUCAGUAUCUCUUCACCUCAGUGCACUUGUAUCAUAUGGUGUUCCGUUACACGGUGACCAGGGCUUGAGUAUGUCUCUUCUGAACUGAAAACAGCUUAAUCUAAAGAGCUUUCUUUCCUACAGAAGGUCUAAAGCACUGUAUUACCUCGUGCCGCAGGGUGAUGGGACUCAACCCAGUAUUUUAUUGUACAACUCGGGAAUCAGCAGCUAGAAAUGAUCACUAUUCAAACAGUAGAACAUGCAAAUUGAGUGGAAAUUCAGUGGUAUUUGCAUAUAUUAAACUAUUUUUUUAAUCCGAA